rnacentral:rRNA from 1 species
CCUUAGAGUUUGAUCCUGGCUCAGGAUGAACGCUGGCGGCGUGCCUAAUACAUGCAAGUCGAACGAAUCUCUUUUAGAGAUGAGUGGCGAACGGGUGAGUAAUACAUAGGUAACCUGCCCCUGUGCGGGGGAUAACAGGAGGAAACUCCUGCUAAUACCGCAUAGCCAUGAGCACCGCAUGGAGCUCAUGCCAAAUAUCCUUUCGGGGAUAGCACAGGGAUGGACCUAUGGCGCAUUAGCUUGUUGGCGGGGCAACGGCCCACCAAGGCAACGAUGCGUAGCCGGCCUGAGAGGGCGGACGGCCACAUUGGGACUGAGACACGGCCCAGACUCCUACGGGAGGCAGCAGUAGGGAAUUUUCGGCAAUGGGGGAAACCCUGACCGAGCAACGCCGCGUGAGCGAAGAAGGCCUUCGGGUCGUAAAGCUCUGUUGUAAAGGAAGAACGGCGCAUACAGGAAAUGGUAUGCGAGUGACGGUACUUUACCAGAAAGCCACGGCUAACUACGUGCCAGCAGCCGCGGUAAUACGUAGGUGGCGAGCGUUAUCCGGAAUCAUUGGGCGUAAAGAGGGAGCAGGCGGCCGCAAGGGUCUGUGGUGAAAGACCGAAGCUAAACUUCGGUAAGCCAUGGAAACCGGGCGGCUAGAGUGCGGAAGAGGAUCGUGGAAUUCCAUGUGUAGCGGUGAAAUGCGUAGAUAUAUGGAGGAGCACCAGUGGCGAAGGCGACGGUCUGGGCCGCAACUGACGCUCAUUCCCGAAAGCGUGGGGAGCAAAUAGGAUUAGAUACCCUAGUAGUCCACGCCGUAAACGAUGGUCACUAAGUGUCGGGGGUCAAACCCCGGUGCUGCAGUCAACGCAAUAAGUGACCCGCCUGAGUAGUACGUUCGCAAGAA